rnacentral:tRNA from 1 species
GGUUGUGGCACAGUGGUAGAGUGCUUAUCUAGCAUGCAUGAGGCACUGGGUUCAAUCCUCAGCACCA